rnacentral:lncRNA from 1 species
AGAAGAAAAUCUAAAUAAUAUUAUUUGUUGUCUUAUUUAAUUUUUUUACAAUCAUUUUAGACUAGAUUACAAAAUCCACAACUACAAGGAUUGUGAAAAUAGAUAAAGUAAAAAUUUAAACUUAUGGGUGCAAAUAUAAUAACAAAAUUUUCUUAAAAAAACGCUAUAACUAGAUGACAACUUGUGGAAUUUUGUAAAAUAAUCUUAAGGGAACAUCUCAAACACACCCACAUAAGGAAAGGAGAAAUUCAAACAAAAUAGUACACUUCGGCUGAAGAUCAAAUGGGCAUAUCUUUGUUUGACAAUCAAAAUCUUGAGUACAAAUAACCAUAUUCGCUGAAAUGAAAAAAGAAAAUAAAAGACUUUAGUUGAAUGAGAUAAAAUAAAACAUAGCAAGUAACUGGGGAAAAUUGAAAAGGAUAAAAAUUGGUUACCGUCAACGGUCAUGGCAAAAGGAAAUAGGGAAAUAAAGAUAAUUAUAACAUUAACAAAUUUAAUAACUUCAGCCAUAUUUUCAACACUUUGCAUUGCAUGUAAGAAAUAUUAUAUGGUUUAAUCACGUUAUAAUU